rnacentral:misc_RNA from 1 species
GAUGAAGAACGCAGCGAAAUGCGAUAAGUAAUGUGAAUUGCAGAAUUCAGUGAAUCAUCGAAUAUUUGAACGCACAUUGCGCCCGCCAGCAUUCUGGCGGGCAUGCCUGUUCGAGCGUCAUUUCAACCCUCGAGCCCCCCCGGGGGCCUCGGUGUUGGGGGACGGCACACCAGCCGCCCCCGAAAUGCAGUGGCGACCCCGCCGCAGCCUCCCCUGCGUAGUAGCACACACCUCGCACCGGAGCGCGGAGGCGGUCACGCCGUAAAACGCCCAACUUUCUUAGAGUUGACCUCGGAUCAGGUAGGAAUACCCGCUGAACUUAAGCAUAUCAAUAAGCGGAGGA